rnacentral:rRNA from 1 species
AGCAGUAGCCGCGGUAAUACGUAGGGUGCGAGCGUUAAUCGGAAUUACUGGGCGUAAAGCGUGCGCAGGCGGUUAUAUAAGACAGAUGUGAAGUCCCCGGGCUCAACCUGGGACCUGCAUUUGUGACUGUAUAGCUAGAGUACGGUAGAGGGGGAUGGAAUUCCGCGUGUAGCAGUGAAAUGCGUAGAUAUGCGGAGGAACACCGAUGGCGAAGGCAAUCCCCUGGACCUGUACUGACGCUCAUGCACGAAAGCGUGGGGAGCAAACAGGAUUAGAUACCCCCGUAGUCCCUGUCUCUUAUAC